rnacentral:misc_RNA from 1 species
UUUCCGUAGGUGAACCUGCGGAAGGAUCAUUAGGGAAUUCGGUCAGUCUUCGGACGGCCAACGACCUCCUUCCAACCCUGUGAACUAUUGGGAGCGAAGCGAAAGCUAGACUCCGGCUCAUUUUAAACAUCAGUGAUUGUAUGUAAAAUCAAAAAAUAAAUAAAAACUUUCAACAACGGAUCUCUUGGCUCUC